UUCAAGAAGUGCAAAUCGAGGGUGAUUAAACAGUUAACCACCAGCUGAAAUCAGGAACAGGUUAUCGCAGCAGGGGAUAAGUGCUCUGCAGGUCACCAAAUUACAAGUCAAGCCCUUACAGCUUCGAGUCCUUCCAAUCAGUUUCGAAGUUAGGGUUCCAACUCAAGAAUAAACCCACAGGAACUCGUUUUUUAAGGUUCUUUCACAGAUCAAGGCGAGGAGUCACAGAACUCCCUCGCAUUUCACAGUCCAGUAAUGAAUCAGCUCCACAGACCACUAGGUCGACUCAAAUCAAAACCUAAGGUUUCAUGAUCUACAGUCGAACACCUGGAAAUUAAUUUUCCAGUGUUCAAACCUUCGAUCGAAGACU
rnacentral:lncRNA from 1 species